rnacentral:lncRNA from 1 species
UGUGCGAAAGGGAGCAAAGUUCUGUUAAAUUAUGCCUUUGUCUGGUGGCAUAUCCGGAUGACAAAGAGAUUACUUUUGAUGUAUCAGUGUUGUAGCGCCCAUAAAUAAGCCGGUAGAAAU